GCGAGUCGUCUGCUGUCCUGCCAGCACAAACGUUUUCGUCCGACAGCUUGAGUUAUGGUCGUCCCGCUGAAUAAAGGACGCAGACGUUCAGCAGCUGAUCGACUGCUUCACUUUCACAGCAGCUUCAGGUCAUCUGAGUCCACUGGGAUCAGGAUCAGGAUCAGGAUCAGCACGUCCACCAGAGCGUCAGAGUGUUCAGAGGUGAUAAACGGGUGACGCCAACACAACUGGGUGACGUGGCAAAAUCAGCUGAGCGAGACGCUUCCUUCAGUCCCUUCCUUCUGUCAGCUCCUCGACUCCUUCAGCUAAUCCUCCCUCGGUGUCGUCGAAGGCGAACACGUUUGCUCCCUUCACAUCCCUGCUGUGGUUGUUGUGCUCCUGUCAGCUACAGGAUGUCGUGUCAGGACACAACGCUCUGUCUCGCCGUGUCAGACACUGAACGUGUCACGGCUGACCUUUGGAGACACGUGUGGAACGCUCAGCGUGUUCCUGACCGUCCCAGCGAACGUCCAAUCAGAACUUCAGAUUUCUGCACGCGUCAAAGCAGAACUUGAGCGUUCGGAUCCGAGCUGCCUGGAACAGAGCUUUUCUCAGCCGUGUGUCGUGUGGUUCACGUCACACGUUUGGAUGAGGACGUGUGUCCUCAGUCUGAUCCAAUCAAGAUGUCCUGAUCCAGCCUCAUCCAAAUACAGCCUCAACAACUCAAAACGACGACUGCUAUGAGGCCUAACUUCAAAACAGGUGGCAUCAAGGUGAGUUCACACCCGGACAAGACCCAGUCCAAAUGUGGCCAGGUUGAGCGAAGCUCAGGUGAAUAAACUAAACCAUUCAGUGCUCUUCUUACUGCUGUGUUUACUG